CCUACGGGUGGCAGCAGUGAGGAAUAUUGGUCAAUGGGCGCGAGCCUGAACCAGCCAAGUAGCGUGAAGGAUGACUGCCCUACGGGUUGUAAACUUCUUUUAUAAAGUAAUAAAGUGAGGCACGUGUGCCUUUUUGUAUGUACUUUAUCAAUAAGGAUCGGCUAACUCCGUGCCAGCAGCCGCGGUAAUACGGAGGAUCCGCGCGAUAUCCGGAUUUAUUGGGUUUAAAGGGAGCGUAGAUGGGUUGUUAAGUCAGUUGUGAAAGUGUGCGGCUCAACCGUUAAAUUGCAAUUGAUACUGGCAGACUUGAGUACAGUUGAGGUAGGCGGAAUUCGUAGUGUAGCGGUGAAAUGCUUAGAUAUCACGAAGAACUCCGAUUGCGAAGGCAGCUUACUAAACUGCCACUGACAUUGAUGCUCGAAAGUGUGGGUAUCAAACAGGAUUAGAUACCCCUGUAGUC
rnacentral:rRNA from 1 species